rnacentral:rRNA from 1 species
AUUGAACGCUGGCGGCAUGCCUUACACAUGCAAGUCGAACGGUAACAGGCCGCAAGGUGCUGACGAGUGGCGAACGGGUGAGUAACACAUCGGAACGUGCCUGAUAGUGGGGGAUAACUACUCGAAAGAGUAGCUAAUACCGCAUAAGAUCUCAGGAUGAAAGCAGGGGACCGCAAGGCCUUGCGCUAACAGAGCGGCCGAUGGCAGAUUAGGUAGUUGGUGGGAUAAAAGCUUACCAAGCCGACGAUCUGUAGCUGGUCUGAGAGGACGACCAGCCACACUGGGACUGAGACACGGCCCAGACUCCUACGGGAGGCAGCAGUGGGGAAUUUUGGACAAUGGGCGCAAGCCUGAUCCAGCAAUGCCGCGUGCAGGAUGAAGGCCUCGGUUGUAACUAGCUUUGUUACGGAAC